rnacentral:rRNA from 1 species
UACGUAGGGCGCAAGCGUUGUCCGGAAUUAUUGGGCGUAAAGAGCUCGUAGGUGGCUUGUCGCGUCUGUCGUGAAAGCCCGGGGCUUAACUCCGGGUCUGCGGUGGAUACGGGCAGGCUAGAGGCAGGUAGGGGGAGAAUGGAAUUCCCGGUGUAGCGGUGAAAUGCGCAGAUAUCGGGAGGAACACCGGUGGCGAAGGCGGUUCUCUGGGCCUGUACUGACGCUGAGGAGCGAAAGCGUGGGGAGCGAACAGG